UUCUCCACGCACUGUCCAUUCUCCUUCUCGGCUUCGUUCAUGCAUUCAAUCUUCUUCUUCCAUAGUCCAUUAUUCUCCACCAUCUUCUUGUCCGAUUCCAGUCCGUCUUUUGAAGUUUACAAAUGUAAGUAAACCCAACCUAUUUUCAGGGGAAGUCAGAAAAUUAACCCUCCGUUUAACUCAACCAAAACCCUUGAGGCCUCUUGUUUGUAUUGUUUGCAGAAGAAGAUCAAUAAACCCAAAAGCCUUCUUUUCAUCUUUAUUCUUCUUCUUCGACUUCGUCUUCGUCUUCUCUGCAAGCAAAACAUUGCCGUUGGGUGAGAGAGGAGGAUGGGACAAAAACGAAUCCAGAUAUUGUGGAGUGGAGACUGACUUCGACGAUGACAUGCCGCAUCUUUUGUCCUACAAUCUCUCGUGGCUUCGAUUUUGUCGUUGCUACUCUGAUGGACCCCGCUUAUAGGCCAAGCUUGGUAGAAAGAGACGCUAGUGGUGGAUCAAAUGUUCUGCCAUUUGCUGCUUCUGACUUGGUUUUGAGCCCCUCCCAAUGGAGUAGUCAUGUUGUGGGUAUGAACUUUUCCAUUCACAGUUAGUAAUCAUUUCUUUUUAUAUAUUUAAUUUGCUUUGAAUUUUUUUUUAGCAUACUCCUUGCAUAAGGAGUUCCGAUUAUAAGAAAAAAUUAGGAUGUUGGGAGAAGACUUAGAUAUAUUCAUUUGAUUUUAUAGUCUUGUUUGAAUUAUAUGUCAUGUAUGCUAACCUUUUUGGGCCUGUAAUAGAUUCUACUUGGGCGAAUUAUUUUUUCUGGAUUGUAUGAGAGAUAGUUCAUGCUGUGGGUAUAAAAUUUUGAAUUUACUGUUGCUAAUAAUUUCAUUUUAUAUGUGUUUCAGUUUCUUGUUUAUCUUGAUGCUGGAGCAUGUGAUAGUUUCUAUCAGGAGAAUUAUUUUAUGCGAAUAAUUAUUCUCUCAAGCAGAUGACAUUUUUAAUUUGCUUCAAAAAGUUUUUGAUUUUUAGCAUACAUUUUCCAUAAAGAGUUCGGAUUUUAAAAGAUAAUUAGGAGGUUGGGAGAAGAAAUUGAUAUAUUCAUUUGAUUUUGUAGUCUUGUUUGAAAGAUUUUGUCUUUAGCAAAGUCUUUUGCUUAGGAGUUUGCUUUUUAAAAAAUCAGGUUGAGAGACUUGUUUGGGCCUGUACAAAUUCAAAGUCAUAGUAUGAUUCAUGCUAAAGUUCUUCUCUGGUGCGGAUGUUCUGUAAAAAUUUUGGUUUGGUAAAAAGUGAUAAAAGAGGUUCUUUUUGCAUUACAAUCUUGUGGAACUCCCCCAGUAUAUUCUCGAAUCUAUUCAGGAAAAAUUAGUUCGUGGAUUCACUUGGAUUCAGAAGAUGAGACUGGAUGGGUUCUGAAAUUACUUUGAAGCAAGAAAUAGCAUGGGCUACACAUUUGUCCUUACAGCUUCUUCAUAUGAUGCACUACAAAAUCCAAAUUAUUUUCCCGAGGAGAAAUUGUGAGGAAAACUAAAUGAAGUAGCAUAUACUGCUUUGCUUUUAAUAAUUUUUUGACUGGAUUGUCUUUUUGACCUUUAAUCUUUUGGCUGCUGGUUACUUUAUUUUUUUAU